AUAUUUAAUUGGAAACGUGCGGGAGGACAGUGGACUUGGCGUCCAAUUGCUUUCCACGGAGAAUGAGUGGGUCAGAUGGGAAGGAAACGGUGUGUGUCAAGCUGAGGUUCUGGAUGACCCGCGUUGGACAGCCGGAAAGGUUUCGACUGCAUUGAUGGUCAUUCCACCAAAGGAGUUCCAGACAGACUCCAUAUUAAUGUGGAUGGCCACAAUGAGGGUUGCCAUUUUCACCUUCUCAGCAGCUCUGGCCCUCAUCUGGGGAGCCGAAGCCAUCGUAAGUCUUCAUUCAUUUUUAUAUAAGUUCUUAUAGGCUGCGCUGCUCUGCAUUACUUUGCAUUGUAUGAAAUUAUUCGUUUCCAUUGAUUUUCCAUUUGUCUUUUUAUCUAGGUCACAAAAUGGCCGUGCCUGGAUAAGUUUUUUUUCCAGAUAGUCUUUCAAACAGCAAUUUUCUUAGAUGAAUCUUAGAUGCCAUUAAUGCCAUAAUUUAAUGUGUGACAUUGUUUGCUUCAUUUUUUAUUUUUUAGUAAAGGAAAAUGUGUGGCUGAAAGAAGAAAAGGAGGAAUUGAGGAACACCUGUGAGGCAUUGCGCAAGGCACUGGACAUACGUGAAGGGAACCCAACCUCAUCAUUUCAAGACGCUGGGUGAAUUAGGAACUGAAGGAAGAUGGUCCAGCCUGGGAUUAAAUGGACUACACUUGACAAAUUAAUUCUCCUCCUUCAAACUGAAAGGCUGAAUCAGUAAAUGGACUAAACUUGACAAAUUAAUUCCUCUCCUUCAAACUGAAAGCCUUUGACUCAGGAUGACCAAAAAAGAGAAAGAGGCAAGAGUUGAACA